rnacentral:rRNA from 1 species
GACGAACGCUGGCGGCGUGCUUAACACAUGCAAGUCGAACGCUGAAGCUCAGCUUUUGUUGGGUGGAUGAGUGGCGAACGGGUGAGUAACACGUGAGUAACCUGCCUCCUUCUUUGGGAUAACGCCCGGAAACGGGUGCUAAUACUGGAUAUUCACUGGUCUUCGCAUGGGGGUUGGUGGAAAGGGUUUUUCUGGUGGGGGAUGGGCUCGCGGCCUAUCAGCUUGUUGGUGGGGUGAUGGCCUACCAAGGCUUUGACGGGUAGCCGGCCUGAGAGGGUGACCGGUCACAUUGGCACUGAGAUACGGCCCAGACUCCUACGGGAGGCAGCAGUGGGGAAUAUUGCACAAUGGGCGCAAGCCUGAUGCAGCGACGCCGCGUGAGGGAUGGAGGCCUUCGGGUUGUGAACCUCUUUCGCUCAUGGUCAAGCCGCAACAAUGGUUGUGGUGAGGGUAGUGGGUAAAGAAGCGCCGGCUAACUACGUG